ACGAACGCUGGCGGCGUGCUUAACACAUGCAAGUCGCACGGAAAGGCCCUGCUUUUGUGGGGUGCUCGAGUGGCGAACGGGUGAGUAACACGUGAGUAACCUGCCCUUGACUUUGGGAUAACUUCAGGAAACUGGGGCUAAUACCGGAUAGGAGCUCCUGUUGCAUGGUGGGGGUUGGAAAGUUUCGGCGGUUGGGGAUGGACUCGCGGCUUAUCAGCUUGUUGGUGGGGUAGUGGCUUACCAAGGCUUUGACGGGUAGCCGGCCUGAGAGGGUGACCGGCCACAUUGGGACUGAGAUACGGCCCAGACUCCUACGGGAGGCAGCAGUGGGGAAUAUUGCACAAUGGGCGGAAGCCUGAUGCAGCAACGCCGCGUGCGGGAUGACGGCCUUCGGGUUGUAAACCGCUUUCGCCUGUGACGAAGCGUGAGUGACGGUAAUGGGUAAAGAAGCACCGGCUAACUACGUG
rnacentral:rRNA from 1 species